GCAGUUCGCAGCGCUGGACGAGCAUCAGUCAUCUAGUCACGACGGACCAGACUGAAGAGAUAGCUGCUAUUAUGCCAGUUUGAAAGAUGGAAAAAGGUACACCUCAGGGAGGUUGCAGAUCAGGUUCCAGACCAUUGCAGUGGGUGAAUCUUGGGAGGACCAGAAGUGCUGAUACCUGAAGAGACUAGUCUCUUUAAGAAUGGUGACUGGAGCUGAUCUCUGCCUCUGAUGCUUUUAAGUCCAUGGGGUUUUCUGAAGUCAAAGGACAACUGGCUUGAAGAGGAGAUCUGUGUCUUGGAGCCAGCGGAGCUGCAUUUAAAAGUGUGCUUCCAGGCCGGGAUUCUCAGAGGAGCAGCAAAGCAAAGAACAGAACACUGCCCUGAAUGUUUCGAGAGCUCAGACGGGGGGUUGAGCCAUCAAAUGUGACUGUCAUCAGCCCGAUCCCCUGCAUUUAUGUUUCCAAAACACUUCUAACAUUCACUCAUUCAUUUGAUCUGUGUAACAAUCCAGUGUGAUAAUCUGGGCAAGAACAUUUGCUCCAGUUUUAUGGGUGAGUAAUGUGAGGCUCAAAGAGAUGAAAUAAAUGGCCAGAAAUGAGGGCACAUACACAAGUUUGCUGACAAACAAAAUUAUUCAUGUAAAAUGUUUGACACAGCGAUAGGCACAGAGUAGGAUCUUAGUAAUUUUAAUCUAAUUAUCUAAUUAUCUUAUUUAUCUAAUUUCUUACCCUAUUAGUCGCACUAUAUAUAUUUUUACGUAUGAAUUGCUGAGCUAUCACUAGCCAGUCUGUAGUGAUUGAAAAAUUUUUGUCUUUUACAUUCCCUUUGGUUUCUGUGCUUCAGUCUUCAUAAUUUUAGCACCUCACUGACAGAAAAUGACAAUUAUUAUUAUUUUUUCUUUUCUGGCCACCCUGUGGCAUUUUGAGCCACAGUUGCGACCUACAUGACUACACUGCAGCUAUGGCAACACUGAUCCUUUAACCCACUGUGCUGGGUUGGGGGUGGAAUCUGCAUCCUGCCGCCGUAGAGACGCUGUGAUGGAUCCUUUUGCACCACAGUGGGAACUCCGACGGAGGAUUAUUUAUGUUAGGGAUAUUUCAAUGGAACCUGCUUUCCUAAGAUCUCAAGCUUUCUAACUUUCCCGUGGAAGUGCUCCAUGUGGCAGUUCUUUCAGUGAGAGGGCUCCUGGAAAAGAGAAUUGCGGUCAAGAAGGAACUCAGGAAUUGGGUCUAUUCUGUAAUACACCCAACACUAAAAUCAAACUUUAGAUAAUUUAAAAUCCAUGUGUAUUCUGUAUAAAAUAUUAUUUAACUAUAUGUGAAGGGCACAGUUUCUUAGCUUAUGAAGUAGAAUGAACACUUGUUAAAGUCUUAAGGCCUUUUGCAGCUUUUAUUUGAAGUGGGUGGUAGGGGAUUUAAAAUUUUUUUUUUUUUUGUCUUUUUGCCUUUCUAGGGCCGCUCCCAUGGCAUGUGGAAGUUCCCAGGCUAGGGGUCUAAUUGGAGCUGUAGCCGCCGGCCUACACCACAGCCACAGCAACUCGGGAUCCGAGCGGCAUCUGUGACCUACACCACAGCUCACGGCAACGCCAGAUCCUUAACCCGCUGAGCAAGGCGAGGGAUUGAACCCACAACAUCAUGGUUCCUCGUCAGAUUCGUUAACCACUGAGCCACAACAGGAACUCCUCAAACUUUCUAUUUAGAAUAAGUUCUCUCUUGUGUAUAGUAUAGGAGUGCCUCACAUUUCAGAAACUGAAGGUGGUUGGGUAGAGUUGGGGGAUUUUUCUUUCUCUACUUGUAUAUUCAGGGCACUAUUUUAUGGAAUCUACUCUAAUACAGACUUCUUCUCCUUGUCUGCCUUCUCCUCUUCCCCUUCUGCCCCUGCCUCUUCCUUCCCUCCCUUCCUUUUCCCUCCUCCUUUUCCUGCACUUUUGUUUUUAAUACUGAAAGAGUUAUCCAAAUAGUGAAGAAUAAUGUAGAAUUUCAUGAUUAUAGCAGCCACAGAGUCAAGAGUCAUUUGUCGUUGCACCAGCUGUCCGGGGACUAUUUUGUUUGCAGGUCAGGAUGGAGUCUUCAGACUCAUCCUACCAAAUGACCUUGGCUGUGUUUUGCUUUUAUGCUGGCCUUCCUUGGUUCCUGCUCAUUUUCCUAGCUCUGUGCUCUGCUUUCUGUUGAUUCUGUAAGGUAUAGUAUAUCCUUCCAAUAAGGUCUUUUUUGUGCAUAAAUUAGAAUUGGUUCCUAUUGCAUAUAAUAAAAACCUGACCAGUAU
rnacentral:lncRNA from 1 species